UGAACAAACGCGCCCCUAGUCUUGACAAUACGUCGAUUUUGCUUCUUGGGAUAGUUUCCAACUUUGUGGCCUUCUUCACCGCAAUACAAGCAUAGACCUUCCUCCAUACGCCACUUUUUUUCUUCUAGGGUAAGAGAUUUCACACGUACCGCAUCAAUUUGCAUGUCUUCUACCUUUGAAUGUAUAUUCACGCUGCUUGCCAACAUAGUUGGGGCGUGGCGAACCAUAUGUUGUCUUGAACGUUGGUCUUGGCAGUGUUGGAAUAGG
rnacentral:lncRNA from 1 species